rnacentral:rRNA from 1 species
AGAGUUUGAUCCUGGCUCAGGAUGAACGCUGGCGGCGUGCCUAAUACAUGCAAGUCGAACGAGGUGCUUUUGUAGCAAUACGAAAGUAUCCUAGUGGCGACGGGUGAGUAACGCGUUGGUGACCUACCCCAAAGUGUGGGAUAACAGUCCGAGAAGGAUUGCUAAUACCGCAUGUGGUCUUCGGAUUUAGAAACUGAUGACUAAAGGAGCAAUUCGCUUUGGGAGGGACCUGCGUCCCAUCAGCUAGUUGGUGAGGUAACGGCUCACCAAGGCGACGACGGGUAGGGGACCUGAGAGGGUGGCCCCCCACAAUAGAACUGAAACACGGUCCAUACACCUACGGGUGGCAGCAGUAGGGAAUAUUGCACAAUGGGCGAAAGCCUGAUGCAGCAACGCCGCGUGUGCGAUGAAGGCCUUCGGGUCGUAAAGCACUUUUCUGAGAGAUGAGAAAGGACAGUAUCUCAGGAAUAAGUCUCGGCUAACUACGUGCCAGCAGCCGCGGUAAAACGUAGGAGGCAAGCGUUAUCCGGAUUCACUGGGCGUAAAGCGCGUGCAGGUGGUUCGGUAAGUUAGGCGUGAAAUCUCCCGGCUCAACUGGGAGAGGUCGUCUAAUACUACCGAACUUGAGAGCAGAAGAGGAAGAUGGAAUUCCCGGUGUAGUGGUGAAAUGCGUAGAUAUCGGGAGGAACACCAGUGGCGAAGGCGAUCUUCUGGUCUGUUUCUGACACUCAGACGCGACAGCUAGGGUAGUAAACGGGAUUAGAGACCCCGGUAAUCCUAGCCGUAAACGAUGUGAACUUGGCGUUGGUGGGUUAAACUCCAUCAGUGCCGAAGCAAACGCGAUAAGUUCACCGCCUGGGGACUACGGCCGCAAGGUUAAAACUCAAAGGAAUUGACGG